rnacentral:tRNA from 1 species
GCCUGGCUAGCUCAGCUGGCAGCGCAAGAGACUCUUAAUCUCAGGGUUGUGGGUUUGAGCCCCAUGUCGGGCG